AAACACUGCUACCCCGCAAGGGGGUCCAGUCGAGGUGCUGCAUGGCUGUCGUCAGCUCGUGUCGUGAGAUGUUGGGUUAAGUCCCGCAACGAGCGCAACCCUUGUCCUGUGUUGCCAUCAUUCAGUUGGGAACUCGCAGGAGACCGCCAGCGAUAAGUUGGAGGAAGGUGGGGAUGACGUCAAGUCCUCAUGGCCUUUAUGUCCAGGGCUACACACGUGCUACAAUGGCCGGUACAAAGCGUCCCGAACCCGCGAGGGGAAGGCAAUCGCAAAAAACCGGUCUCAGUUCGGAUUGCAGGCUGCAACUCGCCUGCAUGAAGCUGGAAUCGCUAGUAAUGGCAGAUCAGCACGCUGCCGUGAAUACGUUCCCGGGCCUUGUACACACCGCCCGUCACAUCACGAAAGUGGAUUGUACUAGAAGUCUGCAGGCUGACCCGCAAGGGAGGCAGCGGCCCAAGGUAUGAUCCAUGAUUGGGGUGAAGUCGUAACAAGGUAGGCGUAGUGCU
rnacentral:rRNA from 1 species